rnacentral:rRNA from 1 species
CAGCAGCCACGGGAACACGAAGGGGGCUAGCGUUGCUCGGAAUUACUGGGCGUAAAGGGAGCGUAGGCGGAUCGUUUAGUCAGGGGUGAAAUCCCGGGGCUCAACCUCGGAACUGCCUUUGAUACUGGCGAUCUUGAGUAUGGGAGAGGUGUGUGGAACUCCGAGUGUAGAGGUGAAAUUCGUAGAUAUUCGGAAGAACACCAGUGGCGAAGGCGACACACUGGCCCAUUACUGACGCUGAGGCUCGAAAGCGUGUGGAGCAAACAGGAUUAGAUACCCCCGUAGUCCCUGUCUCUUAUAC